rnacentral:lncRNA from 1 species
AAAGAACUGGAAGAUGCCAUUGAGCAGAGCUGCACUCAUUAUGUAACCAAGGAAAAGAGCUUUGGAAGAAAAAAAAUCACAAAUGUCUACUGGGAAUUGUGUCCAGAAGCAGCAGCACAUUAUUGAAUAUUUUCUUUCCCAUCUGUCUUGCCUCCAUCUUCAAUCAAUCAAUCAAUCAAAGAAAGGAAGAAAGGAAGGACGGAAGGAAGGAAGGAAGGAGAAGGAAAGAAAGANUCUUGCCUCCAUCUUCAAUCAAUCAAUCAAUCAAAGAAAGGAAGAAAGGAAGGAAGGAGAAGGAAAGAAAGAAAAGAAAGAAAGAAAGAAGAAAGGACGGAAGGAAGGAAACAUUCCUUAUGUUACUAAAGAAAUGGAGGAUUCUAUUUCCUGAAAUACCUAGAGUAUUUGCCCCCUCCUGUUCCCUGAGGAAGUAUGCAGCCAUAAUGCUGAAGCGCUGCUAAAUGCAAUAAGGCAAAAAUCAUCACGGCUUGAUGGCACCAGAGUGCCAGCGCUUUGGAUAAAGAAUUAUCCCACUAACACAGCAUGAACCAGCCAAAAGGAAAAAGAAGAAAACAAUCCACAAACUCACGGUGUAUUUAUUUUUUAUGAUUCUAAGAAUCUUUAUUUAAAAAAGAUAAAAUGGGAAUCAUUGGAUGAGUAUAUUUGAAGGUGGGAAUCUCAGAGGCAAUUUGGAUCAGCUAUAGUUUGUGUGCUGGUCCUUGCCAUGGGGUUAUUGAACUGAAAGGCAAACAUAUAUUGUCCACCAACUUCAACCUGUAUUUCCACUCUUUGAUUUGUUCUUUGUAACAGAAGCUAUGAUUUUAAAAUAAGGUUUCUCUAAUUGAAAAUUUUUAAAAAAUGAGUUGAAUGAGUUCUGGGUCUAAAGUAUAAGGAGAAAAACAUCUUUUCUCUUGAAGGCGCAACAGAGGUUAUAAUAAAUAUUAAAUAUUUAUGUUGUGUGUGUAGCA